ensembl:lncRNA
AUGGAACACUCUCAGGUUUUAUUUAUAUGUUUGGCCUCUCUAUCUUCUUCCCUCGUGCACAGGACUGGCCAUUAUUUUUCCAUUCGUUUAAGGCACAAAGCAAAACUACUUCUACGGACACCUACAGAAAACCCCUCCUCAGAUGUUCUCAACGCUAAAAGGAGGACCCAUGCAAAGAGUUUCCCCACAAAGCAGUGUGAGAAGUUGCAGGAUUCCAACAUGCCUUGGGCUCCAGAUGGCCUCUGUACUCUCCGCCACCACCAUCCUCCUGGUCCCUUCCCAGGCUCCCUGACCCCGCAAAGGACAGAUCACCUGCAGCUGAGCACAAGCCAGCUCUCCCGUGCAAGGGACGUUGGCCCCGUAAUCAUCAAAGGGUGCGUCGGGUUGGAGGGGUUUGCUGGAAUUCUGCUUGAACCGCAGAAUUCAAAUGCGUCUGACAAGUAUCACCUCGGAGCAAAUUUUCAGCAGCCUUUUUUCUCCAACCAAGAAAACGCUGUAUUCACAGUACACCAAUCCUCUGCGCUUGUCUUCCGUGACAGAGGAUUGACACAGCCCUGCACCGCGAAGCCUUCGCACCUGCAGAAGGGAGCUACUGGUAUACCUUGUAAUUGGGUCCAUGUUCUCUCUAUGGUCUUAUUUUUUUAAAUUAAUUUUACUCAGGACUUGAUAUGAGUUAUAAAAUAUAACUUAAAAUGUUCAACAAAAUUUUAAAAAGAUAAAAAUGGCCAAAUCAUCAAGUCUGUGUUACACUUGGUAUAGAUAUCCAGAAAUAUUUCUUGCACCAUAUACAUUCAGAACUACAUACUUCAACCAAAAUGGAAUUAUACAAAAAUGGGAUUUUGUCUCUGAGUUUCUAAUUUAGAACCUUUCCAUGAUCGAAAGGGGGAAUCUAUAUGAUUUUGUUGUUGUUGUUGCUGUUGCUAUAUACUCUGACUUACAAAGCAAAUCCCUUAUUGAUAGGCAUUUAGGGGCUUUUUUUCUCCACACAAGAUUAGAAACACUGAUCACUUAUUUCUUUGAAUUUAGUUAUCACAAUACAUUUGCAGAAAGAGAAGACACAAAGGAAGAGACUGUAAAAACACAUUUUAUUUGUUUAUUUAUUCAUUUGUUUGGGCUUGUAUUGCAUUCUGUGAGUUUGUCCCCCACUCAAAGGGUAAAGUUACUCAAGGGCCCCUCACUUGGCCACACAUCUGAUUUCAGUAGUCAGCAGACCUGAAGAAUCCAGUUCUGAAAGCUCUCUGUAGUUAGGUUGAUUCUUUCAAGGAUAAUAAUUUAUCACGUGGGAAAUUUCACUGAGGUCUAAAUUUAGUCUCCACGACUCCCUCCCCACAAUUUUUAAGCAUCGUCAGUCAUAAUUGUUGGCUUUGAAUCACAAUCACCUGGAAGGUGGCCAGCUCAGGCUGUACCUCCAAUUCCUGCAUUCCCUUGGCCAUGCCACCAUGGGAGGAGACGCUUUAUCAAAUCCACUGUGACCCAGUAGAUUUUCUGGGGUGUUUGUGGGAAAGCACUGCCUGUCCCAAGGGACUUGUUUUUAGCUCUGUACAUGUUCACGUAUAUGCACACAGGCACAAACACACUCAUAGAUUGCACACUCCAAACCUCCAGAAAUGGCCCCCUUACUUUCAUAUUUGCUUGCCGAGAGCUUUUUACUAAAAUUUGUCAAAGAAAUAGAGCCUGGAAGCACAAAUUAUUUUCUGGAGAUUCACUCCUAAGAGCUGAUGCUCACCACAACGGCUUCCCCCUGGAAGGAUCCCCAGGCAUGUCCAGAAUGCAUACAUAGAAUUAGCAUCACUCACCCAGUCGAGGGAGGCAUGGGGAAUCCAUAGCCAUUCUUCACCUGCCAUGCUACAAAGCCCAGCACAGUGGGAUUUAAGAGCAUGAUCAAAGAGUAACUUUUCUAACGGAAUCUCCAGGGGAAUAGAGGGUGACAGCAUAAUUACCCCAGUUAGAAUUUCGCCAGCCACAGAAUUAAUACCACCACCCGUCUGGUGGGAAGCAAAGACACAGUGGAGAACUCAAAGGCCUUUAAUGGGCGAAAGAGGUCAAGCCCUCGGUUUUAUAUCUCACCCCAGGGACACAUGAGAUAUUCCUCCCCUGCCCGGGAUGCCAUUCAGAGCUGUCCCUCCUAUUUUUUUAACGAAACUGAGGCAAACAGUCAUUAUUUUAAUGGCGCAUUGCCCUAAUGUUGCUAAGGCUACCUAGUGACCCCAAGGCCUCCGCAGGUAAUCACAGUGGAAAAGACAGCUCGGUCCCCCAGGCCACAGUCGUGGACAGAGCAGCGACUCCAUGUGCAGAAGGCCUCCCCGUUUGAAAGAGAAAGACACACAGGCCAACGCACGUCUUUUAAAGGUGAAGACUUGAUUUAUCUGGCUGCACCGCCAUGAAUUAAAACCCUUGGCGGUAGGAGGUCUCUGAGACCGUAUCACCCCCAAGAGCAGCGGUGACUGGAGCCCAGGUCAGGGACAUCUGUCUGCUCUGCACACAUGGUGUGUCCAUGCAUCCCCAGCUCAGGAUCCAUCAAGGUCACUGUGAAGGUCAGAAGGCCGGAGACCACCUCCGACUUCCCUUGGGCUGGCAACCCCGUGCCCGCCAGGAAGAGCUUGGCUGGAACUCGUUGGCAGGCUGUUUUCUGAAAGUUGAUCAAAAGUUUGCAAGUGUUCGCACAUCCUUAAUUAGCAGCAUCCCGGGUACUUCCAGCAGGAUGCAGGAGGCACCCCAUGCCCUCCAGGAAAGCAGGCUCGAUCUGGGCAUUUUCUCCCUUUAUACUGGGAAGGUUUGAAGAAUAAUUUUACAAUUAGAUAACAUUAAGGAUGAUGAAAGCUAGAGAGCGGAAAGCAGCCAGAAUUAAUUACUUACUUGAGGGUCUGCUCAGGCCUCUUUGGCAGUGUGCAUGCUGAUUUUAUUACGGCAAUUUAACCCUUGGUGUCCCGCUCCAAGAGAACUCAGCGCUGCCUCAGACUCUGGGCCUGUUGGAACUGGAACAGAGAGAGCUACUUCUUCCUCGAGGGCUCACCCUCUCUUCCUCCUGUCUUCCGCGCUAGCCGUCCCCACCAGCAGCUUCGUCUCCCCGUCUCUUCCAUUCUCUCAUGAAAGCCCUGUGUUUGAUCACUAAGUGGAUAUGAUGUUCCCAGAAAUCAGACUGCAUUGGGAAAGAGCUAUGGCUCUAACUUCCAACUCUGUACCUCUCUGCAGCUUCCUGCAGGCUGGCCAUGCCCCUCUACCCCCUAAGGAAGGAAGAGGGUCUGAAUAAAUGAAUGGAUGACUUACA